rfam:Capsicum annuum cultivar Zunla-1 chromosome 10, whole genome shotgun sequence
UAAUGAUGAUAAGGGCAAUUCCUGAGCAUACCUUUGAAUCUUUCCCAAGCUUGAUAAAGAUUUUCUCCAAUUUUUUGCCUGAAACUUACAAUAUCACUUAGUAA